GGGGGUGCUCCGGUUUCGACUGGUACGGUUCGAGGUACGUGUUGCAGGUGGAGGCGGAUUCAUUCCGGGCCAACUCCUAAAACAGGCAAAAAAAUUUAAUUGCCGAUAACGACAAUUACGACUACGCUCUAGCAGCGUAAUCGCGUGGCGCCGCCCCGCCGCCUUGAGGGACGGUUGCCGCGUCGCAAUCAGGGCUGGUCAAAUAAGACUUCCGGAUCUUAUGCGACAAGAUUUUUCCGGAAUACGGACGUUACGUGUGCCGCGAAGCCAAGAGCGCCCCGACAAAUCAAUGCGCGGCUAAACCUGUAGAAGCCCGUAUUUCGCGUAUUAGGACGCGGGUUCGACUCCCGCCAUCUCCAACC
rnacentral:tmRNA from 1 species